rnacentral:rRNA from 1 species
CGGGGUGCACCAGGCGCGAAAACUUUACAAUGCUGGCAACAGCGAUAAGGGGACCUCGAGUGCCAGGAUACAAUCUUGGCUGUCGCGAUGCCUAAAAAGCAUUGCAUAGCAAGGGCCGGGCAAGACCGGUGCCAGCCGCCGCGGUAACACCGGCGGCUCGAGUGGUAACCGCUAUUAUUGGGUCUAAAGGGUCUGUAGCCGGCCGGAUAAGUCUCUUGGGAAAUCCAGCAGCUUAACUGUUGGGCUUUCAGGAGAUACUGUCUGGCUCGAGGCCGGGAGAGGUGAGAGGUACUUCAGGGGUAGGGGUGAAAUCUUGUAAUCCUUGAAGGACCACCAGUGGCGAAGGCGUCUCACCAGAACGGACCUGACGGCAAGGGACGAAAGCUAGGGGCACGAACCGGAUUAGAUACCCGGGUAGUCCUAGCCGUAAACGAUACUCGCUAGGUGUCGGCCACGGUGCGACCGUGGUCGGUGCCGUAGGGAAGCCGUGAAGCGAGCCACCUGGGAAGUACGGCCGCAAGGCUGAAACUUAAAGGAAUUGGCGGGGGAGCACAAGGGCGAAUGCGG